rnacentral:tRNA from 1 species
UCCUUGGUAGUCCAAGGGUUAAGAUUUCGUGCUCCCAACACAGAGGACGCAGGUCCGAUUCCUGUUCAGGGAA